GGAUUGCCCUAGUAACGGCGAGUGAAGCGGCAACAGCUCAAAUUUGAAAUCUGGCUCUUUCAGAGUCCGAGUUGUAAUUUGCAGAGGGCGCUUUGGUGUUGGCAGCGGUCCAAGUUCCUUGGAACAGGACGUCACAGAGGGUGAGAAUCCCGUACGUGGUCGCUAGCCUUCGCCGUGUAAAGCCCCUUCGACGAGUCGAGUUGUUUGGGAAUGCAGCUCUAAAUGGGAGGUAAAUUUCUUCUAAAGCUAAAUACUGGCCAGAGACCGAUAGCGCACAAGUAGAGUGAUCGAAAGAUGAAAAGCACUUUGGAAAGAGAGUCAAAUAGCACGUGAAAUUGUUGAAAGGGAAGCGCUUGCAGCCAGACUUGCCUGUAGUUGCUUAUCCGGACUUUUGUCCGGUGCACUCUUCUGCGGGCAGGCCAGCAUCAGUUUGGGCGGUUGGAUAAAGGUCUCUGUCAUGUACCUCUCUUCGGGGAGAACUUAUAGGGGAGACGACAUGCAACCAGCCUGGACUGAGGUCCGCGCAUCUGCUAGGAUGCUGGCGUAAUGGCUGUAAGCGGCCCGUCUUGAAACACGGACCAAGGAGUCUAACAUCUAUGCGAGUGUUUGGGUGUCAAGCCCAGACGCGUAAUGAAAGUGAACGGAGGUGGGAACCCUUUGGGUGCACCAUCGACCGAUCCUGAUGUCUUCGGAUGGAUUUGAGUAAGAGCAUGGCUGUUGGGACCCGAAAGAUGGUGAACUAUGCUUGAAUAGGGUGAAGCCAGAGGAAACUCUGGUGGAGGCUCGCAGCGGUUCUGACGUGCAAAUCGAUCGUCAAAUUUGGGCAUAGGGGCG
rnacentral:rRNA from 1 species